GUGGGGAAUUUUGCGCAAUGGGCGAAAGCCUGACGCAGCAACGCCGCGUGGAGGAUGAAGGUCUUCGGAUUGUAAACUCCUGUCAGUGGGGAAAAAGGGGAACGGGCUCAUACCCCGUUUCAUUGAUUGUACCCGCAGAGGAAGCCCCGGCUAACUCUGUGCCAGCAGCCGCGGUAAUACAGAGGGGGCAAGCGUUAUUCGGAAUUAUUGGGCGUAAAGGGCGCGUAGGCGGCCCUUCAAGUGGUAGGUGAAAUCCCUCGGCUCAACCGAGGAGCUGCCCGCCAAACUGAAGAGCUUGAGUCCGGGAGAGGUGAGUGGAAUUCCCAGUGUAGCGGUGAAAUGCGUAGAUAUUGGGAGGAACACCAGUGGCGAAGGCGGCUCACUGGACCGGAACUGACGCUGAGGCGCGAAAGCGUGGGGAGCAAACGGGAUUAGAAACCCUAGUAGUCC
rnacentral:rRNA from 1 species